GGUGGCCCAGUGGUUAGAGCCUCCGCCUCGAAUGCGGGAGGUCGUGGGAUUGAUCCCCGGGAGAGUCA